AUUGAACGCUGGCGGCAGGCCUAACACAUGCAAGUCGAGCGAGCGGCGGACGGGUGAGUAAUGUAUGGGGACUGCCCGAUAGAGGGGGAUAACUACUGGAAACGGUAGCUAAUACCGCAUACUAUCGGAUAACCCAUAUGGGAUUAGCUAGUAGGUGAGGUAAUGGCUCACCUAGGCGACGAUCCCUAGCUGGUCUGCGAGGAUGAUCAGACAAACUGGGACUGAGAAACGGCCCAGACUCCUAGGGAGGAAGAAGUGGGGAAGAUUGGACAAUGGGCGAAAGCCUGAUGCAGACAUGCCGCGUGUAUGAAGAAGGCCCUAGGGUUGUAAAGUACUUUCAGGCGGGAGGCGUUACCGACAGAAGAAGCAACGGCUAAAUCCGUGCCAGCCGCCGCGGUAAUAC
rnacentral:rRNA from 1 species